rnacentral:rRNA from 1 species
UACGUAGGGACCAAGCGUUGUUCGGAUUACUGGGCGUAAAGGGCGCGUAGGCGGCUUAACAAGUCACUUGUGAAAUCUCCGGGCUUAACUCGGAACGGCCAAGUGAAACUGUCAAGCUAGAGUGCAGAAGGGGCAAUCGGAAUUCUUGGUGUAGCGGUGAAAUGCGUAGAUAUCAAGAGGAACACCUGAGGUGAAGACGGGUUGCUGGGCUGACACUGACGCUGAUGCACGAAAGCUAGGGGAGCAAACAGG